rnacentral:rRNA from 1 species
UACGGGGGGAGCAAGCGUUGUUCGGAUUUACUGGGCGUAAAGGCGCGUAGGCGGCCAGCACAAGUCAGUUGUGAAAUCUCCGAGCUUAACUCGGAAAGGUCAACUGAUACUGUGCGGCUAGAGUGCAGAAGGGGCAACUGGAAUUCUUGGUGUAGCGGUGAAAUGCGUAGAUACUCAAGAGGAACACCUGCGGCGAAGGCGGGUUGCUGGGCUGACACUGACGCUGAGCGCGAAGCUAGGGAGCGAACGGG